CCUACGGGAGGCAGCAGUGGGGAAUAUUGCACAAUGGGGGAAACCCUGAUGCAGCAACGCCGCGUGAGUGAAGAAGUCAUUCGUGAUGUAAAGCUCUAUCAGCAGGGAAGAAAAUGACGGUACCUGACUAAGAAGCCCCGGCUAACUACGUGCCAGCAGCCGCGGUAAUACGUAGGGGGCAAGCGUUAUCCGGAUUUACUGGGUGUAAAGGGAGCGUAGACGGCGACGCAAGUCUGAAGUGAAAUGCCAGGGCUCAACACGCGAACUGCUUUGGAAACUGGGUGGCUAGAGUUCAGGAGAGGUAAGUCGAAAUGCUAGGGUAGGGGGGAAA
rnacentral:rRNA from 1 species